ACGGCGUACAGCCGUCCGCGUGACGACGGCGCACGCGUGGCUGUGUAUCCAUAACAACCGCGCUUCAGCGCGGCUGUCCCCUUUGGAUGCUGCCAAGGCGCGUCGUCCCACGCUGUGACGUCAUCGCCUUGCGCCCGGGUGAGGCGGCGGCCUCGAGGUUGUCCUGCUGUGCUCCGCAGUGCUCCAACGCCGCGGGGCGGCUCCGGGCGCCGCCUCAGCUUCUACAGGAGAGACGUUGUGGGUGAGACAGAGGGAACAUCAAAUGAGAAACUGGGAAGAGAUAUGAAGUAGCGGGACCAGUUUUUCUAAUUUCUCAACAGAAAGCUCAACUGAUCAAAGAGAAGGAAGGAAGCAAUUUGCUGGGCUCCCAGGACACCAACGCAGAGCUACCUUCGAGCCGGCACUGUGUGACUGCAUGGAGACUGUCUGUGCCAGUGGGCCAGACCUAAAGAAGGAACUACCAGAUGAUGCUGAGGAUUCCUGCAUUCAUCGACAGAAGCAGUUUAGUGAGACAAAGGAACUGUAAGGCAGGAUAUGCAGUAACUGCUACUGAGCAGGUAAUCAGAGUACAACCGUUACCUGUAGGGACUUCCACUAAGAGGUCUAAAAUAGCCUUAAACGUAUGGACAGAUGCUAAAUAUGCAUUUGGGGUGGCACACACUUAUGGUACCAUCUGGAAAGAGCAAGGAGUGCUCACACACAGGGAAAACAAAUUGAGCACGGUGUAUAUCUACCAAAGAGCGUGGCUGUUAUACACUGUGAUGGACAUCAGAAAGGUGACACUGUCCAGGAAACUGGAAAUAUGAUAGGGAUCAGGUGGCAAAACAGGCAGUUGAAGGAAAAGAAAUAGCAGAACUGGCUUUAAUUCCAGAUGGUAAACUUCAAAUCUCUGAACCUGAGUCAGCCUGUGGAGCAUUUUAGAGGGGACGGGAAUCUAAUUAAUGAUUUAGAAGGGAAGAGAGCUAGCUGACAGAUGGGUGCGUACCCAGAUGGACACGCUGUUGUGCCCUUUAGUACUUUAUGGAAGUUGGUUCUAAGGGAACCUAUUGAAACAUACUGAGGGGACAAACAGUAGAAAGUAAUUGCGCAAUCUAGUACCAGGAACAGGGUACAAGUGGGGCCUAUUAGGAAAGGGAACCUUCCAGGGCAACAAUGGCAAAUUGUUUUUUGUUUGGAACUACCAGGAAAAAAGGAGGGUUUUGUUAUAUGCUAGUUGAAACCAAUACCUUUCCAGGGUGGCCAGAAGCAUUCCCUCUGCAAAGCCAAAGAAGUAGCCGAGGUAUUGUUGCAGGAGAUUAUUCCAAGGUUUGGGGUUAGUGCAACAAUAUCCUCCAACCAGGGAGCUCCCUUGAUUGUAAAGAUUGUCCAACAGGGCAGAAAUAGCUUUGGGAAACAGAGAAACUGGUUCUAGGAACAAGAGCCCAAGGCCUUGACAGCUUGAUAAAUCAUAUUUUACAAAGAGAUUAUGUGUAUAUAUUAGAUCUCUUUCAGACCCACCCCUGGAACCAAGCUGGGAAGGUCUGUUCCAGGUGCUGCUAACGUCCCACACAGCUGUCAAAGUUAAAGAACAAGCGCUGUGGAUGCAUUAGACUAGGGUCAAUAAGAUUCCUUGAACACAAUGGGAAUCGAAGUCAGCUGGACCUUUAAAACUGCAAAUCCAAAGACAGUAAAUAUGGGCUCUUGUAAUAGUGAGAAAUUUGAUAAGUGCGGCUUUUGAUGCAAAUGCUUAUGUAAAAAAACAAACAAACAAACAAAAAAAACAACAAAAAGCUUUGCAAAGUGUGCCAGUCUCAGUCAUUGUGCAGUAUGUGGCCAAGCUGACGAUUUUAACUCUCCACUCCUUGGAAUCCCUGAUGCAUUUAACUAGAAGGAGCACUGAUGGCCAUCGGUUGCUGUGUUAUCCUGUGUGUGAAGGGGCUGGUUCAACAACUGAUCGAGACAGCACUACUGAAGCAAACAGCAAGGGAGCCACCACCACAUUUGGAUAAAAUGAUGGUGUGAGAGGAGAUGGGGAAUGAAGACAGCAAAGAUGAUAUCUGUAAGAUUGUACCAUAUAAAAGAAUUGCAGAAAUCAACAAUGUAAGAAGAAGAAAAGGGGGGAAUUGUAGGAAUGGAAUGUUGUUUCUGCAUUAGAUACUGAAAAUGGGGAAUUGAUCCGAAGAAGUAGAGCACAAUGGAUUUGUAUUUUGUAACUUGUCCUUAGAAAUAGCUGAUGUGAAAAGGUAGAAAUACUGGAUAUGUUAGUAGCGUAUUUCAGAAGUAUAGCUGCUGAAUUAUGUGAUUAGUUCUUGCUUGCAGAACUGCAAUGGUUUUUAAAUGUUCCAGAUAGUAUAGGGAUAGUACGAUGGACUAGAAAGCAUAUUGUAGGGCUAUUCUGUUUAGAUAAGAGAACCUCAGCAAGAGAAAAACAGACUUGACCAACAUCAAAGAAGCCAGGGCCUCUGCACAAGGUUGGAUUGCCUCGCUCUGUGGGUAGGUGCAACAGGCAGGCAUCAAGAUACUCCCCUCUAUCCUCCUGCCAAGCUUGUCUCUAUCCAAGGGCAAGCAGAUGCCCAGAAACAGUGACUGAGUGUUGAAUGAGCACACGUGAGCACACGUUAACUAAUGAGUGACAUGUGCUUAGCUAGCAACAAGUUAUGUUGAUCCAGUAUCCGUACGUUUAGCUGAGCAUCGGGAAGAUUGUGAACCUGAAGUACUCAGCCAAUGAGGAACCAAUGAGGGGAGAAAGAGGUAAGCGUCGAUAACAGGGAGUAAAAAUGGAAGGCUGUUUUCUGUGUGCUCUCCUGCUUGCAGGAGGCCUGCCAUUGCAGUUGUGCAUAGAAUCUGCUUUAUCAGAGAUACCGUCCUGAUAAAUUAUUUGUAUUUGCCUAUUUCCAACGUGGCAAGCACACCCCCUUCAGGGCACAUCUCAUCCCACUGUUAGUCAGUCCUUGUAAGAAGCACCACGACAAAUCCACCUGAAAAACACAGCCCUUCCAUUGAGUAACAAAGAAAGCACUCUGCCCUUGCUCCUGACCCUCGUCCCUGCCCCCACCUGCCCUCACAGUACAGCCACCUUCUCUUGAGCAGGGUAAAGAGCAGUGAGAAUUCAUACUUGGUUAUCCUGGCACAAAGAGUUUGUGGGCCACAAAGAGAAAUGCCUGCAUUCCAGAAAACAGAGACAAAAAGAGA
rnacentral:lncRNA from 1 species